rnacentral:tRNA from 1 species
UCCUUGUAAUAUAACUAUUAUACUGGCCUUGUAAACCAGAAAUGGAGCCAACCCCUCCCUAGGAC